rnacentral:tRNA from 1 species
GGGCCCGUAGCUCAGCCAGGUAGAGCGGCCGGCUCAUAACCGGUAGGUCGUGGGUUCGAAUCCCACCGGGCCCAC